rnacentral:lncRNA from 1 species
CCAAUUCUUUCCACAUGACUUCUUGCGGUUGUUGUGAGGGUCAAAGUAACCCUGAAUGUCUCAGAAUGGAUAUCAGCUAGAAGACCUGGACAGAUGCAGAUCUAGACAUACAGUUCCUGCAGUCAUGCUAGUAGAGAGAUCAUGUCAGCAGCAAAGAGUGCAAUUGGACGUCAGCAGCAAAGCAUUCAUUCCUGAAGGAAAUUAUUGAACCCACACACAGAGAAUUCUGACAGCAUUGUUUAGGUAAAGCUUC